UAGUCCACGCCGUAAACGAUGACAACUAGCCGUCGGGGCCCUUGAGGCCUUGGUGGCGAAGCUAACGCGAUAAGUUGUCCGCCUGGGGAGUACGGCCGCAAGGUUAAAACUCAAAUGAAUUGACAGGGGCCCGCACAAGCGGUGGAGCAUGUUGUUUAAUUCGAUGCAACGCGAAGAACCUUACCACCCCUUGACAUCCUGCGAAUUUUCUAGAGAUAGAUUAGUGCCUUCGGGAACGCAGUGACAGGUGCUGCAUGGCUGUCGUCAGCUCGUGUCGUGAGAUGUUGGGUUAAGUCCCGUAACGAGCGCAACCCUUGUCCUUAUUUGCCAGCACAUAAUGGUGGGAACUCUAAGGAGACUGACGGUGACAAACCGUGGAAGUGGGGACGACGUCAAGUCAUCAUGGCCUUACGGGGGUGGGGCUACAAACGUGCUACAAUGGUCGGGUACAAAGGGGCUGCGAACCAGCAAUGGUAAGCGAAUCCCAAAAAGCCGAAUCGUAGUCCGGGAUUGGGGGUCUGGCAACUCGACCCCA
rnacentral:rRNA from 1 species